UGGUGGAGUGAUUUGUCUGGUUAAUUCCGUUAACGAACGAGACCUCAGCCUGCUAAAUAGUUGCGCGAACCUUCUACUCGGGUGAAGGUGUGGGUCGGUGCGGUGGCUUGCCAUCGUAUCUCUCGCAUUGGAUCCUUGAUGAGUUCGUGAAUAUACUUCUUAGAGGGACUAUUAGUAUCUAGCUAAUGGAAGUUUGAGGCAAUAACA
rnacentral:rRNA from 1 species